UACGAAGGGGGCUAGCGUUGCUCGGAAUGACUGGGCGUAAAGGGCGCGUAGGCGGAUUUGACAGUCAGGCGUGAAAUUCCUGGGCUCAACUUGGGGGCUGCGCUUGAUACGUUGGGUCUUGAGUGGGGAAGAGGGUCGUGGAAUUCCCAGUGUAGAGGUGAAAUUCGUAGAUAUUGGGAAGAACACCGGUGGCGAAGGCGGCGACCUGGUCCUUGACUGACACUGAGGUGCGAAAGCGUGGGGAGCAAACAGG
rnacentral:misc_RNA from 1 species